UACAGAGGGUGCGAGCGUUGUCCGGAAUCACUGGGCGUAAAGGGCGCGUAGGUGGCACGACAAGUCAAUGGUGAAAGCUCGACGCUCAACGUCGAGUCGGCCACUGAUACUGUUGAGCUGGAGCACUGUAGAGGCUAAUGGAAUUCCGGGUGUAGCGGUGGAAUGCGUAGAGAUCCGGAAGAACACCGGUGGCGAAGGCGGUUAGCUGGGCAGUUGCUGACACUGAGGCGCGACAGCGUGGGGAGCAAACAGG
rnacentral:rRNA from 1 species